rnacentral:rRNA from 1 species
UACGUAGGGUGCGAGCGUUAAUCGGAAUACUGGGCGUAAAGCGUGCGCAGGCGGUUAUGUAAGACAGAUGUGAAAUGCCCGGGCUUAACCUGGGAACUGCAUUUGUGACUGCAUGGCUAGAGUGUGUCAGAGGGGGGUAGAAUUCCACGUGUAGCAGUGAAAUGCGUAGAUAUGUGGAGGAAUACCGAUGGCGAAGGCAGCCCCCUGGGAUAACACUGACGCUCAUGCACGAAAGCGUGGGGAGCAAACAGG